rnacentral:rRNA from 1 species
CCUACGGGAGGCAGCAGUGAGGGAUAUUGGUCAAUGGGGGCAACCCUGAACCAGCAACGCCGCGUGAGGGAAGACGGUUUUCGGAUUGUAAACCUCUGUCCUCUGUGAAGAUAAUGACGGUAGCCGCGUAGGAAGCUCCGGCUAAAUCCGUUCCAGCAGCCGCGGUAAUACGUAGGCAGCAAGCGUUGUCCGGAUUUACUGGGGGUAAUGGGUGCGUAGGAGGCCUUGCAAGUCAGAAGUGAAAUCCAUGGGCUUAAUCGCGGAUCUGCUUUUGAAACUGUAGGGCUUGAGAGAAGUAGAGGCAGGCGGAAUUCCCGGUGUAGCGGUGAAAUGCGUAGAGAUCGGAAGGAACACCAGUGGCGAAGGCGGCCUGCUGUGCUUUAACUGACGCUGAAGCACGAAAGCGUGGGUAGCAAACAGGAUUAGAUACCCUUGUAGUC